rnacentral:rRNA from 1 species
CAGGCCUAACACAUGCAAGUCGAGCGAGAAGCUCAUGACAGAAUCUUCGGAGGACGGAUUGAGUGGAAAGCGGCGGACGGGUGAGUAACGCGUGGGUAACCUGCCCUGUACAGAGGAAUAGCCAUUGGAAACGAUGAUUAAUGCCUCAUAAGACUACAGUAUCGCAUGAUACAGUAGCCAAAACUCCGGUGGUACAGGAUGGACCCGCGUUAGAUUAGCUAGUUGGUAAGGUAAAGGCUUACCAAGGCGACGAUCUAUAGCCGACCUGAGAGGGUGAUCGGCCACACUGGAACUGAGACACGGUCCAGACUCCUACGGGAGGCAGCAGUGGGGAAUAUUGCACAAUGGGCGAAAGCCUGAUGCAGCAACGCCGCGUGAGCGAAGAAGGUCUUCGGAUCGUGAAGCUCUGUCCUAUGGGAAGAACACAAUGACGGUACCAUAGGAGGAAGCCCCGGCUAACUACGUGCCAGCAGCCGCGGUAAUACGUAGGGGGCAAGCGUUAUCCGGAAUCACUGGGCGUAAAGGGUGCGUAGGCGGUUUCUCAAGCCAGAAGUGAAAGGCAAUGGCUCAACCAUUGUAAGCUUUUGGAACUGAGAGACUUGAGUGCAGGAGAGGAAAGUGGAAUUCCUAGUGUAGAGGUGAAAUUCGUAGAUAUUAGAAGGAACACCAGUGGCGAAGGCGACUUUCUGGACUGUAACUGACGCUGAGGCACGAAAGUGUGGGGAGCGA